UUUCAUGCAACUUUUAGGGCCAUCCUAUUUGUGACACCUGUGCUCCACCAUCACCUUUGACUGAAAUUAUCCAUGGGCUUCAAAAGUUAUAAUGGCAUAAGGGAUGAAGAAUGAGAAGGAAUCUCAGACCAGUACCAGUUCCUGAUCCCUCAAGAAAAGGCUCCUUCGGGAAGUGCCUCUUGCCAGGGGUGAAAGUGGAGACCAAGCGCUGAAGCUGUUCGGCCAGCCCCAUGCCUUGUGUGCAGAAACCCGGCGUUUGACUCGCCGUGCCACGGGCAUCCCCAGCUCUCAAAGCUUGCCGGUAACGCCUGGAGAAAGAAUGCGGCAAGGUUAAAGCCGUGCCGAUACGGGUGGCGCUGGGGGGAAUCCCGUCCCUUCCUCACAGGCCAGGGGCCCGCCCCGCUGGGCAGGCCGGUAGCCACUUCCCCACGGUGCUGCUGGGGCGGGCGGACCAGGUGCCGGUGAGUCCCCGGUGUCGGUAUUGGUGCCUGCGGCAGAGGUAACAGUGCCACCUGGUGAUGCUCGCCUCCUCCUCCGGCUCUUUACAACGGGUCUACCCGCGGAAAUAACUCGCUCCAAUCCCAGGGGGAAGUAACUACGCAGCGUGUCAAAAGGUAUGUCGUUCUGAUUUCAGAAACGCAGGAAACUUAUUAACGGCAAAAGCUCUAUCCCGAGUGAUGCCAUCAUGGAUAUACCCAGAGAAACACAACUGCUGCGAUUCUGAUUACAGGUUUGGUGUCUAAAACGUUUGAUGCUCCAAAGCGCUGCAGGCUUCGCAUUCCCACUGGAUUCACAUGGAGGGAGAUUGUCUCUCACAGGAGGGAUGCAGCACCUGGUAGGAAGUUCACGGUCCUGCACAUGGCCUAUCUCAUUAUCAGAUCCAUUAGUUAAUAUUCCAAAUUUUCCCACAUACCACCAUGAUGGUGGUUCUAUUAAGAAUAUGUUGAAGCUUAUUACAACAUUAUCUCUGCAUAUUAAAUAAAAUAAAAUGUAUUC